GUUAAUAUUUAAACCUUAGAAUAGCUUUGGAAGUGGAUAUAGGCUGUAGGGUUAGAAGUAGAAGAUAGGGUAUUUUAAAAUAGUAUUAUUUGUAAGUGAUAAAAUGUGAAGUUAUUUUAAGUGUGAUUAAAAAAAAAGAUGGUUAGAAAUUAUGAUAUAUGUAAACUGCUAAAGAUGAAGUAAAAUGAAAAUCAGAUAGGUGGGACUUGGGAAAGCCCACUUAACAAUGUUUAGAAAAAUAAGGAUAUGACAAGAAUUUGUUCGUAUUGUUUGUCUUUUCUGUUUGUGUUUUUUAUUUGUGUU